AGCCAGCGAGGAUGGCUGCGCGCGCGUUUGAGCGCUCGCACGCGGCGACCCGUCUGUCUCCUUUUUUUCUUUUUUAAGUGUAACCUGGUUUAUUGGGCUCUCGGCAUAUUCUUGCGUUCCUUCUGCACUGGGACAAGACACCACUGCACUAUUGGACUACGGCAAGCUGGUGCCGUCCGGUGGAGCUUCAUACAGGAACUACUGCCUUAUCUGCUGGUGUCACAACGUUGGAUGAACGCACAAAAAGCGCGGAACGAGCUUUUAUAUAGAGCAAAAUAAAUAUUUCCUCAUUGAACAAAA